UUUGGUUAGCUAAUCUGUCACUCUUCUGCAAUGGUGGGUGCGAUAUUUUUGUGGCGCAUUUAGCUUUUUAACCAUUUGUUGUGCCGUCUUAUGUAACUUGACGCCAGCAAAACAUCGUUUGCGCUCAAAAUAUCAGUAGCAGGUCCAUGUUUAACCCAACUUUCAUUAUGGAUAAAAACAAAGGACCAAAACAAAACUAACCUACCGCGACAUUUCAUAAUUUUUUCGUUUCCGGAAUUACAUAAGCUUAUUAAUUUAAUAAUCAUUUCGCUGUUCAAGCUACUUAAGUUUACGUGGUUGUUUUUAGUCAAAUGUUGUUGCUCUUUAAUAUCCACAUUAAUGUAAUGAAUUUUGAUUGGAAGGAAGAAUGCUUUUGGUUUUUGCUUCCUCAAUUUGAUCCUUUUGUCUCAAAAGAUUUUAUCUUGACCUUAAUAAUGACGAUGAUUUAGAAACAGAUUCAUCUUUGUGCGCAUUUAUUAAUAUUUUUGAUUCACUUGUCCUAAAUGUUAUUUAUCCUAUGCUUUAGUUAGUUCAGAGAAGAAUCAAAUUUUAAAGGUAAAUCUUUGUAAUCGAUUACAUUACGAAUAAUUACCAGAAAAUAUAGUUGGCCCAUAUUUUCCACUUUCAGAACUGUUUUAUUUCUCAUCAUCAAUAGUGAUUUGUUUGGAACUGCCGAAAUAUUUAAAAAUGAUUUAUUCGAAAAAAUGUCUUGAUCAUAAAUACGUAGAUUUUUUUAUAGUUACUAUUUUCUUUAAAUUAUUAUGACUGUACUCAAGGUCCGCAUUAUUACUUACGCCUAGAUUUUCCUGCAAAAAAAUUGUAUAGGGAUGCUUGUUCCACUGCUCAGGUAUACUACUUAACAUAAUUCAAUAUUUGUGUGAUGCUAAACUGUAAUACUUAUAUCUAGAUUUUUUAAUAAAAUUGGUUAAAAUUUCUUUAAACGCUUGAUAAUAUUGAUUUCUCAUUGUAUAGGAUUGUUUUUUUUAAUAUUGUGUUCUCCUAAGCACGAUUGCCGCUCAAAUUUGUCUAGCACGUAUUAGAGAUAUUACACUCAGCCGUAUAUCUAACCCAUUUUUAUUAUUUGCUUUAGGGCGAUUCUUUUGGUUUAUUUUUGUUAUUAUGAAUAUAAUGAAACUUAUUAUGAAUAUAAAACAACCAUUCCAAUUUAUACUUUUGUAUUGUAAUUCAAAAAAUUAUUACAUUUAUUACAAUUCAUUAUUUGAACUUUUGUUCAACUGCAUAGGGGCAACAUUUUUGUAGUGGAGAGUAGAGUAUAAUAUGUUGGAAUUUUUAUCACUUAUACAUUUUAUUUAAACUUAUACGAAUAUUGACUUGACUAUCAUUCAUUGUUUGCUUUUCUAUUAAGUUAGACUGUCAAUUUUUAGUCAGAUAAAUAUAUCCAUAAAUGUGAAUAUUACAUAUACUGAUGGUGGACUACUUAACAUUUUCUUGUCUGGCGGCAGGGUAUAACAAGUGCUAUAACUAGUACAUAUGUAAUUUCAUUACAUCUCUAGAUUCCAAUUAGUUUCCGCCCAGUCUUUAAUGUUUUAUUUGCAAAAUGUAUUUAGAGUGGCGGUUUUUCAGAAAACAGCCGCAAAACUUAUCAUUUUUCUUAUACUGCUGUUCUAAUUAAAAUAACGUUCUGUUCUAUGCCGUAUGAGAAGUGAAAAUGUCGAAAACAUUAGACUGCUCUAGAUUGAAGACAUUAAAGUAGGUUUUAAGCAACUGUUUAUAAAAUAAAGGUCGUGAAAUAAA